AUCCAUGACAUUAGUGGUAUUCUCCCUCCACCCUGUUGAUUGUUUGGCUAUUGUGACUGACUCUUCAUCUACUUCCCGCAUCUUUCCCUUGAGACGCAUAACAUCCUAUGGUAAGCGAACAGCUUCGCAAGUCAUUGACCGUCUUUUCUUCAUGGGGCAAGCAGAUCCGACUGAAGGCCUCAAGAAAGGUAUAAAGAUACUUGAAAAUUGUGCGCACGAGAAUCCAAAUUCCUGUAUCUUGCAUCUCUCUUAUAGUACAACAAGAUCAUACCAUGCCAUCAACAUGCAAUAUCCCAUUCCAAUCCAUCGGUUUCAUGUGGAAUUUGGCGUUGGAACUUCUAAUAGAUUUGUCAUGCAUGAGUUUGACAAGUUCUUAGUGAGACUGCUUGGAGGUGUGAUCAGAGAUGUCCAAUUGAAAAUUGGGAAAAAGGCAGGAUAGUAAGGCUUGGAGAACCAAGAGUCAAUGAAGACAGGAGAAUUUUAUUAGAAUUAGGCGAUUCUGGACAUGUUUACGUGGGAUACAGCUACAUUGAAGGUGUAGUUAAUGAGUGCGCCGGAACAGGAGAAAAUUGUGAUUAGUUUAAGGGAUAAACGGUAAGCACAUGAUCCUAACAUAGAUG
rnacentral:misc_RNA from 1 species